AACGAACGCUGGCGGCAUGCCUAACACAUGCAAGUCGAACGAGACCUUCGGGUCUAGUGGCGCACGGGUGCGUACCGCGUGGGAACCUGCCCUUAGGUUCGGAAUAACUCCCCGAAAGGGGUGCUAAUACCGGAUAAUGUCUUCGGACCAAAGAUUUAUCGCCUUUGGAUGGGCCCGCGUUGGAUUAGCUAGUUGGUAGGGUAAAAGCCUACCAAGGCGACGAUCCAUAGCUGGUCUGAGAGGAGGAUCAGCCACACUGGGACUGAGACACGGCCCAGACUCCUACGGGAGGCAGCAGUGGGGAAUAUUGGACAAUGGGCGAAAGCCUGAUCCAGCAAUGCCGCGUGAGUGAUGAAGGCCUUAGGGUUGUAAAGCUCUUUUACCCGGGAUGAUAAUGACAGUACCGGGAGAAUAAGCACCGGCUAACUCCGUG
rnacentral:rRNA from 1 species